rnacentral:rRNA from 1 species
UACGUAGGGUGCAAGCGUUAAUCGGAAUUACUGGGCGUAAAGCGUGCGCAGGCGGUUAUGCAAGACAGAUGUGAAAUCCCCGGGCUUAACCUGGGAACCGCAUUUGUGACUGCAUAGCUGGAGUACGGCAGAGGGGGAUGGAAUUCCGCGUGUAGCAGUGAAAUGCGUAGAUAUCGGGAGGAAUACCGAUGGCGAAGGCAGGUCUCUGGGCUAUAACUGACGCUCAUGCACGAAAGCGUGGGGAGCAAACAGG